rnacentral:rRNA from 1 species
CAGCCGCCACGGUAAUACAGAGGGUGCAAGCGUUAAUCGGAAUUACUGGGCGUAAAGCGCGCGUAGGUGGUUUGUUAAGUUGGAUGUGAAAUCCCCGGGCUCAACCUGGGAACUGCAUUCAAAACUGACUGACUAGAGUAUGGUAGAGGGUGGUGGAAUUUCCUGUGUAGCGGUGAAAUGCGUAGAUAUAGGAAGGAACACCAGUGGCGAAGGCGACCACCUGGACUAAUACUGACACUGAGGUGCGAAAGCGUGGGGAGCAAACAGGAUUAGAUACCCGCGUAGUCCCUGUCUCUUAUAC